AGGAGGACUGAGAAGGUUGAGCAGCUUGUGUUGUGCUGUUAUAACUGGUUAUAGCCUCCAACAGUAACAAACAAACCACCUGAUCAACUCACUCUGUACUAAACAGAGCUGAUAGGUGUGUUUG
ensembl:snoRNA small nucleolar RNA SNORA47